rnacentral:misc_RNA from 1 species
GCAAACUUGGUCAUUUAGAGGAAGUAAAAGUCGUAACAAGGUUUCCGUAGGUGAACCUGCGGAAGGAUCAUUAUUGAGCUUAUGGGAGAGUCUUCUUUCUAGCCUGCCCUCUUGGGGCAUGCUUGGGAAAUGGCUUUCCCUUCUCUCUUCUCACCCAUUUGCCAUUAUUUCUUAAGUUGCUUUGGCAGCCAAAGGGGAUGUAACAGUUUCCUUUUGCCUGUCAAGGGACACCUUCAAACCCUUUUUAUCCAACAAUUGGGAUGUCUUUUGUCUGAUUUAUUGUGACUUGGAAUAAGUUCAUAAAACUUUCAACAACGGAUCUCUUGGUUCUGGCAUCGAUGAAGAACGCAGC